AUGUUCGAACUUCGAACCCAAGACGCCACUGCUUCUUCUAGGUCCCGCAGCUUGAUCCCGCCAAGGCUGGAGGAGGAAGCAGAGAGGGAGAUGGGAGAGGGAGAGGAGAUCUCGGCCUGCACACUGCACCUCACGUCUCCCACAAGCUACAACAAUGGGAGAACCGUAUACACAGCAUCCUUCUCAAAGCCUGCAGCUACUGCCUCCCCAAGCAAUGCCAACCUGCAGCAACAAGAGGCUUACAUCCUUGUGAUUCCUCAUGACUCGGAAGGAGGAGCGCGGGCCGUAGAGUUGGAAGAGCAGGUUGAGACAGCCAUGGCGCCUGCUGCAAUGACCACGACCACUACAUGA
rnacentral:rRNA from 1 species